CACCGAAACAAUUCCUUAAAACCCCUCUCUCUCUCUCUCUCUCUCUCUCCUGUUAGGGUUUUCUCUGCUCCUUUCUAACUGAAGAUUUCAACUCAAAGUUUCUGCAGCCAUGCCGCAGGGAGAUUACAUAGAGCUUCACAGGAAGCGCCAUGGCUACCGUCUCGAUCACUUCGAGCGCAAGCGCAAGAAGGAGGCUCGUGAAGUCCACAAGCGAUCAGAAAUUGCUCAAAAGGCACUUGGUAUCAAGGGUAAGAUGUUCGCGAAGAAGCGCUAUGCAGAAAAGGCCUCGAUGAAGAAAACAUUGGCUAUGCAUGAGGAGUCAUCAACCAGGCGAAAGGUGGAUGAUGAUGUUCAUGAUGGCGCUGUUCCCGCCUAUCUGCUCGAUCGUGAUCAGACGACACGGGCAAAAGUCCUUAGCAACACCAUCAAGCAGAAGAGAAAAGAGAAAGCUGGUAAAUGGGAAGUUCCUUUACCUAAGGUAAGGCCUGUGGCUGAGGAUGAAAUGUUCAAAGUGCUUAGAUCUGGCAAGCGCAAGACCAAGCAGUGGAAGAGGAUGGUUACAAAAGCCACAUUUGUGGGACCUGGUUUUACAAGGAAACCCCCCAAGUAUGAACGUUUUAUUCGUCCUUCUGGGUUGCGAUUUACCAAAGCUCAUGUGACGCACCCUGAACUUAAGUGCACUUUCAAUCUUGAAAUUAUUGGGGUGAAGAAAAAUCCCAAUGGGAAUAUGUAUACCUCUCUUGGUGUCUUAACAAAAGGAACCAUUAUCGAGGUUAAUGUCAGUGAGCUUGGUCUAGUUACUCCUGGAGGGAAAGUCGUAUGGGGGAAAUACGCUCAGAUCACAAAUAAUCCAGAGAAUGAUGGUUGUGUGAACGCAGUUUUGCUUGUCUAGAAGGAUUACUAACAAUGUUUUUUGCGAAAGAUGGACGACUUGAUAGUUCUAACGGCUGUAUUUCAUGACCAAGUCUCAUCAUGUUUGUCAGUUCAUCCUUCCCUACUCCGUUAAAGAUGUGAUUGUAUCAUAUGACGGAUCCUCGUCUGGAACGCAGUUUUGUGUUGAGAAAUCUUUCCUGUUUUGCUCAUGUAAAAACUCGUAUGUUUAAAGAAGUAACACAUUAAAGCAUCUUGAUCUCAUCUUGCACGUCCCAUGUAUCAAUGACAUGAAACAAGCAAAAUUGUUUGAAGGAAAAUGCUGAGGCGAACAAUUCUUGAGAGAAGUUUUGUGGAUGUAAUAGUUAUGGGCGGGCUACUUGGAGACUUUAAUUCAAAAUGGCUAACCUCGUUCAAUCAAUACAAAAUUGUGGAGUUGGUGACGGCUUGAGUGAGGAAUGGAAAAUGGAGAGGACCAUGUGAUGAAAAUAAAAAGGAGUAAAGAAAGGAGUAAAUGUAUC